ACAUCAGAGCUACGGCUUAUGGUGGAUGCCUUGGCGAUUUGAGCCGAAGAAGGACGUGUGCAUGAGCACGAUAUCGUCGGUGAGCCCUCUAGCAGGCGAUCAACCGGCGGUUUCCGAAUGGGGCAACCCACCCCGCUGAAAGGCGGGGGACCCCGAUUUUAUAUCGGGGAGGGAACCUAGUGAACUGAAACAUCUAAGUAACUAGUGGAAUAUAAAUCAUAUGAGAUUCCGUCAGUAGCGGCGAGCGAACGCGGAUGAGUCUAAACCCCGCCUUUGGCGGGGGGUUGCGGGACCUCAAUAUAGCAUCAGUGUUGUAUAGCAAAACGUUUUUGGAAUGAACGACCAUAGGGGGUGAAAGUCCUGUAUGCGAAAUGCACCACUGGCUUAGAGGUAUCCCAAGUACCACGGGACACGGCAACCUUGUGGGAAUCUGGGGCGGUCAUGCUCCAAGACUAAAUACUCAAAUCGACCGAUAGUGAACGAGUACUGUGAAGGAAAGGUGAAAAGUCCCCCUGUGAGGGGAGUGAAAUAGUACCUGAAACCAUAAGCUUUCAAACAGAUAGAGUCAGGUACCGUCUGGUACCUGAUGAUAUCGUGCCUAUUGAAGAAUGAGCCUGCGAGUUAUCUGUACGCUGCAAGUUUAAGCACUUUAAAGUGCGAAGGCGAAGCGAAAGCGAGUCCUCCGAGAGGAGGCGGGUCUGAAUAGGGCCUUUAGCAGCUACAGGUAGACCCGAAACUAGGUGAGCUAACCAUGGCCAGGGUGAACUCCGCCGAAAGGCGGAGGGAGGCCCGAACCCGUUGUCGGUGAAAUGACUUGGGAUGAGCUGUGGUUAGAGGUAAUAUGCCAAUCGAACCUAGAGAUAGCUGGUUCUCCUCGAAAUAUAUUUAGGUAUAGCCUUCUGUUAAGACUUCAUGGGGUAGAGCUACUGGAUGGUUUGUCAAGCUUCGGUGAGUCAAACCAACCAAACUCCGAAUACGUGAAGUUGUUCCAGAGGAGUCAGUCUGGCUCGGAUAAGCGAGUCUAGGCAAAAGGGAAACAUCCCAGACUUCCAGCUAAGGCCUCUAAAUGAUUGUUAAGUGGGAAAGGAAGUGUUGUUGCAAAGACAGACGGGAGGUUGGCUUAGAAGCAGCCACCCUUUAAAGAAAGCGUAACAGCUCACCGUAAUACUCCCCGCCUUUGGCGGGGUUGCAAUAAUGCGCCGAAAAUGAUCGAGGCUUAAACAAUCUGCCGACGCUGGAGAUGCUUGUCCUUCGGACAAGAAAUUCGAAGCACUAAGCUCGAAACUCAAGAGAAAUCCAAAUUUUCUAAAUUCAAAUUACUAAAGUUUGGAAUUUUGAUCAUUAGGAUUUUGAUAUUGUUUCGGAUUUAGAAUUUAGAUAUUCGAGUUUCUCGCCCGGAGGACGAGUGUGGUAGAGGAGCGUUCUGCAGGCAGUGAAGCUGUGCUGUAAGGCAUGGUGGAGCGUGCAGAAGUGAGAAUGCAGGCAUGAGUAGCGAUUCUGCUGGUGAAAAUCCAGCACACCGAAUGUCCAAGGUUUCCUCAGCAACGUACAUCGACUGAGGGUUAGUCGGAUCUAAGGGCUCUCCCGAACGGGAAGUCUCGAUGUACAAGGCGUUAAUAUUCGCCUACUGUUGUGUAUGCGUUAUUACUGGCAUAGUGACGAACUAUGAUAGACGGUGCUUUCUAUAUGAGAGUUUAAGUAAUGACUUUGUUGCUUUUAUUGGUGACAAGGGAGUUGCGAAUAUGACUCUGCCCUCGGGUAGGGGAAAUCCGUUGCGUUAUGGGUCCAAGAAAAGCUAUGUUCAGGAGUGUACACUGCAUCCGUACUGCAAACCAACACAGGUGGACUGGUCGAGAAGACUAAGGUGAUCAAGUUAUGGUAGUUCAAGGAACUCGGCAAACAAGCUGGGCGUAACUUCGGGAUAUGCCCUCCCCGCAGCAAUGCGGGGCUCAGCAAAAGAAUUCCAUCCGACUGUUUAGCAAAAACUCAGGUCUCUGCAAACCGGUAACGGGAAGUAUAGAGGCUGAAGCCUGUCCAGUGCCGGUAAGUCAAGAACUGGGGUUGAUCCCCGCCUAUGGCGUGGUGAGGUCCUGGUUCAAGCUCCGGUGAACGACAGCUCUAACCCUGAGAGUUCUAAGGUAGCGUAGUCCCUUGCCGGGUAAGUUCCGGCCCGCACGAAAGGUAUAACGAGAUGAAAACUGUCUUGAACUACUGCUCGGCGAAAUUGAAAUGGCUGUGAAGAUGCGGCCUACUGGUAACAGGACAAAAAGACCCCGUGGAGCUUUACUGUACCUUGGCACUGAAAUUUAUGUUUUGACUGUGUAGCGUAGGUGGGAGCCGCAAGGCGAUCAUGUAACACCACUCUUUGAAACGUGAGUUUCUCACUUAUCCCUCUGGAUCGAGGGAGAGGACACUGUCUGGGAGGCAGUUUAACUGGGGAGGUUGCUUGCUAAAGAGUACCGCAAGCGCUCAAAGGUAUCCUAAUUCCGGAUGGAAAUCGGAAUGAUAGUGCAAGGGCAUAAGGAUGCCUGACUGUGAGACACACAAGUCAAGCAGAGACGAAAGUCGGACCUAGUGAUCCUCGUGUACUUCGUGGGAGGUACCGGGCUUAUCGGAUAAAAGCUACCCCGGGGAUAACAGAGUAGUUGCACCUGAGCGUCCACAGCGACGGUGCAGUUCGCUACCUCAACAUAUCGGGGUCCUCAGAUUGUAAAAUCUGAGUGCUGUUUAGAUAAUGUAAUAAUCUAAGAAAACUAACUCAUAACGGUGAAACCUUAAUCAUGAACCUAUUUAGCUUUGCGAACAAAUAAAAGUUAAAUAUUGAAAAGGUAAUACCGUGGGAAGUCGGUCACAUUAUUGUGGCUUGACCCCGUAUCGACUGGAUCUCUCGAUUAAUCGAGAGUGAAGAUAGGGAUAUUUAUCUCUAUAAAACGUUAGCACCCCGCUUAAAAUCGGGAUGAAGGUAUAGUCAAAAUUAAUUGGAAACAAUUAAAUCAUCAAUUGAGCGAUGUCGGCUCAGCGCAUCCUGGGGCUGGAGAAGGUCCCAAGGGUUGGUCUGUUCGCCCAUUAAAGCGAUACGCGAGCUGGGUUCAGAGCGUCGUGAGACAGCUCGGACUCUAUCCGGUACAGGCGUCUUGAUUCUUGAGGGGGCCUUUCUCUAGUACGAGAGGACCGAGAAGGGGGAAUCCCUGGUGUACCAGUUGUCCCAAAAGGGCAUCGCUGGGUAGCUAUAUUCCUACGUGAUAAGUACUGAAAGCAUCUCAAGUACGAAGCACACCCCAAGAUGAGGAAUCUUUUAGUCCCCCAGGAGAUCACUGGGUUGAUAGGCGUAUGGUGUAAGUCCAGCAAUGGAUUUAGCCUAUACGUACUAAUGGACGAACUCUGAUGUUU
rfam:Microgenomates bacterium OLB22 TZ21_OP11001CONTIG000010, whole genome shotgun sequence.